rnacentral:rRNA from 1 species
GAUGAACGCUGGCGGCGUGCCUAAUACAUGCAAGUCGAGCGAACGGACGAGAAGCUUGCUUCUCUGAUGUUAGCGGCGGACGGGUGAGUAACACGUGGAUAACCUACCUAUAAGACUGGGAUAACUUCGGGAAACCGGAGCUAAUACCGGAUGAUAUUUUGAACCGCAUGGUUCAAAAGUGAAAGACGGUCUUGCUGUCACUUAUAGAUGGAUCCGCGCUGCAUUAGCUAGUUGGUAAGGUAACGGCUUACCAAGGCAACGAUGCAUAGCCGACCUGAGAGGGUGAUCGGCCACACUGGAACUGAGACACGGUCCAGACUCCUACGGGAGGCAGCAGUAGGGAAUCUUCCGCAAUGGGCGAAAGCCUGACGGAGCAACGCCGCGUGAGUGAUGAAGGUCUUCGGAUCGUAAAACUCUGUUAUGAGGGAAGAACAUAUGUGUAAGUAACUGUGCACAUCUGGACGGUACCUAAUCAGAAAGCCACGGCUAACUACGU